GCUGCUCACACUGGACACCACCUCUAUCCCCCUGCGCCUCUGCCCUAUCGCCUCCUGCCCGGACGCCCGCCUGCUGGCCGGCUGCGAGGGCGGCUGCUGCUGCUGGGACGUGCGGCUGGACCAGCCCCAAAAGAGGAGGGUGUGUGAAGUGGAAUUCAUCUUCUCUGAGGGCUCUGAGGCAUCUGGACGGAGAGUGGAUGGGCUGGCAUUUGUGAAUGAGGACAUCGUGGCCUCCAAGGGGAGCGGCCUGGGCACCAUCUGCCUGUGGAGCUGGAGGCAGACGUGGGGGGGCCGGGGCAGCCAAUCCACGGUGGCAGUGGUGGUCCUGGCGCGGCUGCGGUGGUUGUCCACCGAGUUGGCCUACUUCUCGCUCAGCGCCUGCCCU